rnacentral:rRNA from 1 species
UGAGGAAUCUUCCACAAUGGACGAAAGUCUGAUGGAGCAACGCCGCGUGCAGGAUGAAGGCCUUAGGGUUGUAAACUGCUUUUAUGAGUGAAGAAUAUGACGGUAACUCAUGAAUAAGCACCGGCUAACUACGUGCCAGCAGCCGCGGUCAUACGUAGGGUGCAAGCAUUAUCCGGAGUGACUGGGCGUAAAGAGUUGCGUAGGUGGUUAUAUAAGUGAAUAGUGAAAUCUGGCGGCUCAACCGUACAGGCUAUUAUUCAAACUGUAUAACUCGAGAAUGGUAGAGGUAACUGGAAUUUCUAGUGUAGGAGUGAAAUCCGUAGAUAUUAGAAGGAACACCAAUGGCGUAGGCAGGUUACUGGACCAUUUCUGACACUGAGGCACGAAAGCGUGGGGAGCGAACCGG